GAGGGUAUAUCUCAGUGGUGGAGCAUGUGCUAGCAUGCAUGAGGUCCUGGGUUCAAUCCCCAGUACCUCCA
rfam:Camelus ferus unplaced genomic scaffold scaffold839, whole genome shotgun sequence.